rnacentral:misc_RNA from 1 species
GCAACAGCAGAUGAUGAUGAUGAUGGGACCACAGCAACAGCCUUCAAAUCCAUUUGGCAAUCCUUAUGGGACUAGCGUCCAUCCAUAUGGCUCUGGUAUGCCACCCGCUCAAGCCUACAGUCCAUAUUCAGGCUUUAGAUAGAUGCUUUGCAUGUGAGGAACAUUCUUAUCUGGAAACACUGGGAAGAAAGGAGAUGGGGCGAAUUGAUCAACUUCAGAUUUUGAGAUUGGGCAAGACUAAACAGUUGUGUACCAUAUAUUUGUGCAUGUGCAGUAAUCAGUUAGAAUGAGAUUCUUCUUGUUCAAUAAUUAGCGGGAGGAAAGCUUUGGAUUAGUGAUUAUUUACAUUGAUGAAGGUU